rnacentral:rRNA from 1 species
UGCGAGUCAUGGGGCGCGCUCUGCGCGCACCGGCGGACGGCUCAGUAACACGUCGGUAACCUACCCUCGGGAGGGGGAUAACCCCGGGAAACUGGGGCUAAUCCCCCAUAGGCCUGGGGUACUGGAAGGUCCCCAGGCCGAAAGGGGCUCUGCCCGCCCGAGGAUGGGCCGGCGGCCGAUUAGGUAGUUGGUGGGGUAACGGCCCACCAAGCCGAAGAUCGGUACGGGCCAUGAGAGUGGGAGCCCGGAGAUGGACACUGAGACACGGGUCCAGGCCCUACGGGGCGCAGCAGGCGCGAAACCUCCGCAAUGCGGGCAACCGCGACGGGGGGACCCCCAGUGCCGUGGCACAGCCACGGCUUUUCCGGAGUGUAAAAAGCUCCGGGAAUAAGGGCUGGGCAAGGCCGGUGGCAGCCGCCGCGGUAAUACCGGCGGCCCAAGUGGUGGCCGCUAUUAUUGGGCCUAAAGCGUCCGUAGCCGGGCCCGUAAGUCCCUGGCGAAAUCCCACGGCUCAACCGUGGGGCUUGCUGGGGAUACUGCGGGCCUUGGGACCGGGAGAGGCCGGGGGUACCCCUGGGGUAGGGGUGAAAUCCUAUAAUCCCAGGGGGACCGCCAGUGGCGAAGGCGCCCGGCUGGAACGGGUCCGACGGUGAGGGACGAAGGCCAGGGGAGCGAACCGGAUUAGAUACCCGGGUAGUCCUGGCUGUAAAGGAUGCGGGCUAGGUGUCGGGCGAGCUUCGAGCUCGCCCGGUGCCGGAGGGAAGCCGUUAAGCCCGCCGCCUGGGGAGUACGGCCGCAAGGCUGAAACUUAAAGGAAUUGGCGGGGGAGCACUACAAGGGGUGGAGCGUGCGGUUUAAUUGGAUUCAACGCCGGGAACCUCACCGGGGGCGACGGCAGGAUGAAGGCCAGGCUGAAGGUCUUGCCGGACGCGCCGAGAGGAGGUGCAUGGCCGCCGUCAGCUCGUACCGUGAGGCGUCCACUUAAGUGUGGUAACGAGCGAGACCCGCGCCCCCAGUUGCCAGUCCUCCCCGCUGGGGAGGAGGCACUCUGGGGGGACCGCCGGCGAUAAGCCGGAGGAAGGAGCGGGCGACGGUAGGUCAGUAUGCCCCGAAACCCCCGGGCUACACGCGCGCUACAAUGGGCGGGACAAUGGGAACCGACCCCGAAAGGGGAAGGGAAUCCCCUAAACCCGCCCUCAGUUCGGAUCGCGGGCUGCAACUCGCCCGCGUGAAGCUGGAAUCCCUAGUACCCGCGUGUCAUCAUCGCGCGGCGAAUACGUCCCUGCUCCUUGCACACACCGCCCGUCACUCCACCCGAGCGGGGUCCGGGUGAGGCCUGGUCUCCCUUCGGGGAG